UUUUUUUUUUUUUUUUUUUUUUUUUUUUUUUGAGACGGAGUCUCGCUCUGUCACCCAGGCUGGAGUGCAGUGGCGCAAUCUCGGCUCACUGCAAGCUCCGCCUCCCGGGUUCACGCCAUUCUCCUGCCUCAGCCUCUCCAAGUAGCUAGGACUACAGGCGCCCACCACCACGCCCGGCUAAUUUUUGGUAUUUUUUAGUAGAGACGGGGUUUCACCGUGGUCUCGAUCUCCUGACCUCGUGAUCCGCCCGCCUCGGCCUCCCAAAGUGCUGGGAUUAAAAGCGUGAGCCACCGCGCCUGGCCCACAUCAACUUUAAAGGUAUCUGGAGCAGCUGCUCCCAUUUUGGGGUCUUGCUCUGUCGCCCAGGCUGGAGUGCAGUGGUGCAAUCGUGGCUUACUGUCCCAGAUGAGAAGUUUGAAAUGGGUCUCAUGGGGCUAAAAUCAAGGUGUCAGGAGACCUUUGUUGCUGCUGGAGUCUCUAGGGGAGAAUUUGUUCCUUGCCUUUUCUCCCUUCUAGAGACCACCUGCAUUUCUUGGCGCAUGGCCACAUCUCUCUGGCUUCUUCUGUCUUCACAUCUCCUUUUCUGACUCUCCUGCUUCCUUCUUUUCCUUAAAAUGAUACUUAUGAUUUUAUUGGAUUCACCUGGAUAAUGUAGGCUCAUCUCCCCAUGUCAAGAUUGUUGUUUUGUUUGUUUGUUUUUGUUUUGUUUUUUUUGAGAUAGAGUCUCAUUCUGUUGCCCAGGCUGAAGUGUAGUGGCAUGAUCUCGGCUCACUGCAACCUCCACCUCCUGGGUUCAAGCGAUUCUCCUGCCCCAGCCCCCAGAGUAGCUGGGAUUACAGGUGUCUGCCAUCACACCUGGCUAAUUUUUUGUAUUUUAGUAGAGACGGGGUUUCACUGUGUUGCCCAGGCUGGUCUUGAACUCCUGAGCUCAGGCAAUCCACCCGCCUGGGCCUCCCAAAGUGCUGGGAUUACAGGCAUGAGCCACGGCACCUGACCUCAAGAUUGUUCAUCACAUGUGCAAAGUCUCUUUACCAUGUAAGAAAACAUUCACAAAUGCUGGGGAUUAGGACAUGGACAUUUUCUACCUACCACGAUAUGUGUCCCUGUGCCCUUUUAUGACCCCUUCCUAUAGUUCCUUCCUCCCUGCAUUCUACACCCAUGACCCCAGGCAACCACUGAUCUACUUUUUGUCACUAUAAAUUAGUUUGCAUUUCCUCAAAUUUUAUAUAAAUUGAAUUAUAAAAUA